CGAGUGCGCAUUGAUCAGUGUCGAGAGAAAAAAAAGCUACAUAAAUAUAUAUUAUGUGGAUAAAUCUAUAGACAAGAGCUCUCUCGCGCGCGCUCUCUCCCUGUCUGUGUGUGUCUCUCUCUUUCUUUCUCUCUCUGCUCUUUUCCUCCUCGAAUCCCCAACCUGCCGGAGCAGCCCCAAAUCUCCCUCCCGCCCGGCAUCUACUGCCACCCGAACCACCUGGGAGGAUGGGGCUGGGGAGCACUCGGGCCGGGCGGGGGACAGGGGGACCCGGAGUAGAGAUUCGGGCUCCGACCCGCUCCAGCCCGCCUCCGCUGGCGGGAGGUGGGUGUUCGCGUCCCGACGGCCUCCCCCGCCCGGGAGAGCGGCGGCUCGGCAGGCCGGCGGCUGGCGGGAGGAAGGACAGCCUCUUCUCCGCUUCAGAAGCCUGGCAAAGUAAAAUAACGCGCCCGCUCCCCGCAGGCUGCGGGGCAGGGAGCUGGGGCGGCGGGGCGGAGCUGCUGGCCUAACCCCCGCCGGCCCUCGCUGGCCACUUUCCUGCGUUCAGGGUUUCUCUUUUCUUACCCUCGGAUUACAUCACACCACUAGACGAUAUGUUUAAAAUUUUAUUUUAAGAGAAAGAGACCCCAGCUGCCUGGAAACCCAGGCCGAGCCCAUUUGGUACAACCACAGCGCGGAGCUCUCCAGCGCCGGAGGAGGCCGGAGGCCCCAGGCCGCGAGGUUCGAGGUUCGCAGCCCCAGGCCCGAGCCCGCUCAGGACGCCUCUCCUUGAGGAUCCCGGGGGCCCAAGUACAAUUCUGAGAACUGUGGAACUUCAUCCUUUCAUUUUAGAUUCUCCUGCCUUUGCUUGAUGGAGUCAUGUCCAUUUUACUGUCCUACUGCCGGUGCCCUGUCUUGUCUAUACCAAGGGGAGAGGAAGACUCCAAACCUGCUGGUUUAAGGGAGCUCUCCCAGGAACCUGCUCUUUCUUUUGUCUCUGCCAGCUCAUCCAGCACAAGGUAGGACACCUUUUACUUACAAGAAACUUCGAGAGAAAAAUUAACAGGACUCCAGGGCAUCAAGAUCAAAACUGAUGAUCACCUUUGGAGGAUGACUGGGAGAAUUACAUUGAUUCUGGCAGCAAGAGAAACCUCUGGAAGAGAAGCUAGUUUUAGGAGAAGAGCUUGAGAAGCAUGUGGCCCAUGCAGGUGGAGAGUUCCACAGCAAGAUGGGAGCCAGGCCUGCAGGUGCAGAUGCCAUCAUCAUAAGGUGGAGAUUUUUACUCCAAUCAACACAUAUUUACUAAACAUAGCAUCGGAACACUCUCAAAACAGUUGAGACCAUGUACCAAGCAGUAAAGCUUUCCUCAGAGAGCAGCUAAUCUCUGCAGGAGAUAACACAUGGAUGAGGUCAACAAGAACCUAAGACUAUUUAAGUAAAAGUCCAAGAUAACAGUAGAAGUGAUGUGCAGUCCAGUGCAUAAUUGGUUGACAAGUGAGAGGUAAAGUCAGUAAGUCCUAUUUGUUCCAAAGACAGAGGCAACACUUCAGGCUAGGGAAAUCCAAAGUAAAAACUUGUGCUCAAUCUUCAAGGAUGGGAGAGAGGAGGAAAAAAUCCCAGCUGGGUGUGAUUGAUUGGCAAAAAUGGGGAGGUGGAAAUGUGCAAGUCAACUUUUGGACACUUUCAGAAAUGCCCAGGAGGUUCCAGCUGUCUGCAGGAUAAGGCCAUACUUACCUACUUAUUGGAUUUUAACAAACUUUUUAAAAAAGUGUUGUGGCCUGAGGCACAGGUGCCUGGGUUAGAAGCCAUCCAUCUGGGCUGUAAGCCUGUUCUGCUACUUACUAAUGGGGUGACCUUGAACAAGCCAUUUAAUCUUCCCAAAUCCCUAUUUACCAUUUGUAAAACUAAUCCCUGUCUAUGUUAACGGACUUGUGUGAGGAUCCAAAGAGAAAACACUUGUGAAAGUCCCCCAAACAUGACAGUUAAUGGAUGUUGGUUAUUAUCAUUAUUUUUGGCCUCUUUGGUACACAUAGCGCCUUCUCUGUUCUCUCAAUUCCUAAAGCCCUUAAUGCUUGUAUCAUUAAUUUUUACCUACCUCUACCAUCUUUUAUUAUCUCUUAAUUUCUUCAUGUGUUUGUAGGAGCUUCUUAAUUAGAUCAUAAACUCACUGUGGCAAGGGCCUUCUUGUAGACAUUCACUCAGAACACUUUGGGUGCAUAUUAGGUGCUCAGAAAAUGGUUUCAAUAAUUGAUUUCCAUAUUUGUGUGGGUCAAAAUAAUCUCAAAGAGUUCCCAGAGAAAUAGAUCUUGGGGUUGACAUUGACUGACGCAGGAAAGUAAAGACAGGUAAAGUUCCAGGGACAGAAUGCCUGCUGAGGGCAAUGAUGUAAGAUUGUGGCAGGGCUUUUUUUUUUAUGCUUUACUUUUCUGGAUGUCUAAUUUCCCUAGAACAUUCUACCAGGUUUUGAAGCCAUUUAUCACUCUGGUGCUUUGUGAGAAAAUCAAAUGAAACAAAACCAAAAGAGAAAAUAUCCAUCCAACAGCUGGACAGCUGAGUUAUUUUUAGGGACAAGAAAAGAAGCCAGUGUUUGGGAUUCAGCAAAACAUCCCAUCUUGUUUGGAGCUGACCAGCCCUUGGAAAUGCACGGUUCUAAGCAUUUUCUCAGCUGCAAGUCUCCAGCACACGUGUGUUUGGAGGGAAACUUAACCCAUCUGUUUAUGAUUCAUUGAUAUCGAACUCAUCAUAAAAGCUGUUGACGUGGCCAAGUUUACCGUGAGUUUUUAGGAAAUCCCAACAUUGUGUUGAGUUCUUUUUGGUAUCUUUUUGGUUUUUGGGUUUUGUCUUCACUGGGAACCCAGGGAGAGUGGAGAAUGCUCUGAAUGACAAAGCUCUGCUUUUCCUUCAAGGAGUCUCAGUGGCUUCCAGAGUCUGACCAUUUUGAAAAUGAACCAAGUAAAAGGAACCCCAAGAUCUCAGAUCUCCUGUCCAUGCUCCUAGCAGAGCCCUAGGGAUGGCCCAAGAUGGGAAGAAAGUACUUCAGACGCAGUUUGGCCAGUAAACUAAUUAUCAGACAAAGAGAGUUUCGAUUUAGACACAGUGACCUUGAGCAAAAGCGGUUCCUUUUUUGUUUUUCAAUUCCCCCAAAUGUGGUAGGAAAAUGAUAUUGCAAUUUUUGAUCCAUCUCUUAGAGAUGGCUUGUGUGGUUGAUGUGUGGUUUGUGACUUUAGGAAAUAAAAUUCUCACAGUAAGAAAUUAUUGUUUUCCAGAUACAAAUGGCAGUCUUGGUCCCUUUGGUAGUAUGUGCUGUGGGUAUCUCGUCUCCAGCACUGAAUCAUCCAUCCUCAUUACUCCUUGGUCUCAGUGAGGGGUCUAGCUUGGGUGUGUAUCCCAAGUCCUGAGUGAUGUUAACUGAUGCACAAAGAGAGUGGGAUUUUCAUAGCUGAGUCCCCCAGGCUCUCCACACAUUAUAUACACCUGGGAGGGCAUGAAAGGAGAUUUGUAUUCCUGCCACACAGGUAUAGCUAAUACCUCAUUGGAGGAAAGAAAUAUGUGCACUCUCCCUAGAAUCAAAACUAUAAGAGGAACUUGGGAACUCAUGACUUUUCUCUUUAUUUUAAAUAUGGGGAAAGUUGGGCCGCAAGAGGUAAGAUAAUGUGACUAGCACUGACCGAAUGGUGAUUUUGUGCCAGUUCAGGGCUGAGUGUGAUCAUGUUGUUCAGCACUGGAGGGAAGAUAUUGUUAUCCCCAUUUUGCAGAUGAAGCAACUGCCCUGCAAAAGAGGCUGAUAGCUGGCCCAAAGUCACUUGGUGAGCAUGUUGUCAACUAGAAUUUGAAUUCAGCUCUGCUCUACUUCAAAGUUCAAUGGACACACAGACCUAUCUAGUGAGGGAUGAGACCAUGAAGUUCUAGACUUCCCAGCCAAAGAAUAUCUCUCAAGGUAGAUAUUGGGUUGUACCUCCAAUGUGCAUAUACUCUCCUCUAUAUACUCCUCCUAUAUACUCUCCUCUACUUCCCACUGUCUGGUAGAUCCAUCAACCAGUUUGCUGCUUGGGGGGAGACCAUGCUGUUGAGGCAGAGGAGAUAAUGAUGGCUACAACAGGGAGAGGUGAGCGGACCACCUCAGGGCACUGUGCAGGGGUGGGACAUGUGAGUGGACUCUGAAGACUCUGACGUGCCCACCAUGAAAGAAUGAAGGAGCUAAAGCUUAGAAGCCAACAGACAGCAAUGGCCAGUGAAUUCAAGAAAGGACCACAACAGCAUGAUAUCUGUAAAAGAUGCUUGUUACUUUCCAUUUAUCAUUUUUUUGUACUAGAGGGAGGGAGUAGGAGAUGUCCUACGAGUAACCAGGCUCUGCCUCUAAUCUCUUUGUCCUUUGGGCCAUGAGUUGGCCAGUGUUGGAAGAAGUGAGGAGAUGGUGCUUAUAUGCGUACGAUGGAAUUAUAAACAAGGCUCAGCCCACUGGUACCUUUCAAUAAUUGGAAGUGAUCGGAUAGCAAUGAGAUAUGCUUGGGUUGUGAUUAAGGAUGGGAAAGGGGAUUUAUCAGGGCCUGUUUGAAAACAGGGAUGGGGAAAAAGUAGAUCAUUUCGUGCCUAUCCUCAGUGAGAUCUGGCUGUUGAAUGGGCUGAUCAUCCUUCUCUCUUUCUAUCCAUCUGUCAUAUGGAGGGGAUAUGAAAAUUAAAUGUGUGCUUAGACAAAAUUCAUCUCUUCCUCCUCUUUUCUUGAGCACAUUUUGCUGGUGUCUAAACUGGUUUCAGCCAGAAGAAAAAUACCAAGUCAUUGUCAGGUCAGCUAUUCUUCCCAGAUGAGCUACUCAGCACCAGAAUGGCCAGACGUGGGGGUAGAGAGUAAGAGAAAGAGAAAGAGAGAGAGGGAGACAGAGAGAUCACAUUCAUGAAUGCCAGGGAGAGAAAGGGUCAGGGUGUGAGGGACAGUGGGGUGGGAAAUG